GCCCCUGUGGUGAAAUUAGGUUAGACACAAAGGACUUAAAAUCCUUCGGGCUUGCCCAUGCAGGUUCAACUCCUGUCAGGGGUA
rnacentral:tRNA from 1 species